UCAACAACUAAAAGAAAAAAAGAGCUGGGGAUCUACCUCGAUGGUAGAGCACCCCUGAGUUCAAUCCCUGGCACCAAAAAUAAAAAUAAAUAAAUAAAUAAAUAAAUAAAUAAGCAACAGUAGUAACAGCCAAGGUAAGUGUGUGUCCCUGCACCUCCAUCUUUCCACAUAGCCUUUACAAACUAUAGACCACACUCCAAGUGGGCCCCCAGCCAUCACAGCUGGUGCCCUGACUUCAGUAUGGCGCUUCCAGGAUGCUGCCUGCCAAGCAGCAGUGACAGUUGUGUGAGCUCCCAGGUAGGCCUACCCAACAGGCUGGUGACCUCAUAGAGGGGCCAGUGCUGCCAAGUGCCCUGCCUGUCUGCAGCAUUGCUAGCAGCCCCUGCUGACUAACAUGUAACUGCUGCUUUUCCAAAGUGGUUGCACCAUGGCUGUCUUCAUUUUCUUUUUUCACAGCUGGAGAUCAAGCCCAGGGCCUUGAGUGUGCUAUGCCUGGUAGGCUCUCCACCCAGUGACGCCAGCCCUGGUCUUUUCACCCUCUUGAUUGUACCUCUCAAGCACCAAGUUUCUAAUUCUGGUGACAUCUAAUGUAUCUUUUUUGGUAUUGUAUCAUCUGUGUUGUUUCUAAGGAACCCCUGCCUGACACUGGCCCAGGAUGACAGGCAGUUGAAGAGCUUCCGCCCCUGGGCGUGGACCAUGCUUAGCAGCCUCCUUCCAUGUAUACUGCAAACUUGGCUGUGACAACCUGACAAAGGCCACCUGGGCCAGGGAUCACAGUUCUGCCAUGUCAUCGCUAACCCUGAGCUGGGAUGCUGGGCAGGCACGACCUUCCCCAGCUCCACAACUGCAGCUACAGACGCAGACUGAGGUUCUUAACUACAAGGGCCAAGCCUCACAGCAAACCUGUCAUUCAUUGGUACCUGUUCUUCCUGUUGGACCUGUUGCUCUGGAGAACACCAUCUAAAACAAGGUCUUAUUUGGGGAAAGGAAGAGAGGGAGGAAGGAAGAUCAGUCCAGGAACUACCAAGGCCCACCUCAUGUGUGCAUUAUUGUGUGAUUGUGACUUCUGGAUUAAUGUUAAUGUUUUAAAUACUUCUUAAAAACCAACAAUGGGGGGCUGAGAUUGUGGCUCAGAAGUAGAGCUCUCCCUCUGCACAUGUGAGCACCAGGUUCGAUCCUCAUCACCACAUAAAAAUAAAUAUAUUUUAAAAAGG